rnacentral:lncRNA from 1 species
GAAAAAGACAUUUCCAACUUAGUUAUAUCUCGAUCAGGUUGAACAAGAAAACCACCAGGGAUACCCCGGGGCCGCAGUGUGUGUGUGUAGAGUGUGUGUGUGUGUGUGCAUGUGUGUCUGUGCACACAUGUGUAUUGUGGCUGGGAUGGGGCAGAGGCCUGGGAAACACAUCCGCGAGAAGCAUCAGCCUUAAGACUCAGCACACAAGUGCCAUUUGUCACUUUGCCAUGCUCUGCCAAGACUAAUGUAUCUGUUGAUGGUCACUAGGAUGAUCGCUAGUUGAAAAAGAAACCUUACAUUCCCUCCUAUUUCACUGCCUCCCCCAGUGUUCUAACACUUCUCUUUUUCUUUCCUUAAAUUCCUGUUCAUUCUCUUUCUUCCUCCCUAUGUCCCCUCGAGAAGCCAGUGUUACAUCUUCAAGCCCGGUCACAUCAGUGCAAUUGAGUCCUGGGUAGCGGAGGCCCCACCCACCAGCUAUGUCCUUCCCCUCCGCAGCAGAACCAUUUUCUUCCUUCAGAGCACAAAAGGAAUAUGCAGUUAUAUAUUCUUCAAGGCAACUGUCUGGUUCCCACUCAACUGCGACUGCCAUGGAAACAGGGAUUGUGUCCUUCCUUUCCCCAUGGUGGAAUCCUCAGUGCCUGGACAGUGCCUCGCAGUACGGACUCCAUAAAUGUCUGUUGAAUUAGCAAAUUAUUUAGACCCACACAAUCUCUACACUGAAGGGAACUUAGUCUCUUGGAUCUGAAUGCUCCCCAUAGUUCUACCUCAGGACUGGACUUUACUGGAGGGAAAAAAAACAUGCAGUGAUAAAAGUGAUAAACUAAGAGAGGAGAAGCCUGUGCUGGCUCCGUGAUGCACACGGUAACAGUGUGGGAAGAUCUUAAUUCGCAGGCCACCAGCCAGGAGCACAGCAGGUGAGCUGAGAGAUGUUCAGUCUUCGAAGAUCUUCAUUGCCAUCACUGUAUCACUUGGAAUUUAUCUGAACCUGGAUCAGUUCAGCAUCAAGACUCAAUCCAGCUCAUCUUGAAGACAGACAGUGGUGUUCAGACAUGCUCCCAGUAAGUCAGAGCCUCCUUGGAGGUAACUUGGAGGAAAUGAUGAGCUUCAAAAAGGGGUCUGAGAGAGCAACAGGCAGGCAGGCUUCUGGACUUCCCAACCAAAUUUCAACCACAGAACUCUUAGUGCAGAUUUUGUAAUAAUGGAGCUCCAGUAAUUUUAAAAUCAGGUUUGAAAACCACUGGCCUAGAAGGCAAGUACUUGAAUUGCUUAGUUGUGGAGUAGAUGUUUGUCAUUGAUGUCCCAAGCAAAAAUCAUAAGCCAAUUAAUGCCACUAGGCCAAAAGAAGCAUUAGAAGAUGCACACGUGAUAUUUUUAUGGACUCUUCCCAAGGCCACAGUUAGCUCAUCUUUUAUUCUGGUUCUUUGUUGAAGUGGAAAACAGUUUUGUUCUUAGAGAACUUUAUUCCACACAGGAUCCUUAUUUAGAUAAAUUGUCUUGGGGACAGAAGCUUGAGGAAGUGCACAGUAUAUGAAUUUACCCAUGUACCCUCUUGCCCAGCAAAUGCUGGCUUAUUAACCUUGCAGAAAAGACCCUGGGGUGCGGGGGAAGCAGGAUCCCACUCUUCCGAGUAACCCCCUCCAUCAGAGACAUAGCAGACAAGAGACUCAGAGCCAGCCAUGGAUGGGA